rnacentral:rRNA from 1 species
CUUGAGAUGAGUUUUCCCUGACGCUAUAAGCGUCCUAAAGGGUUGUCGUAGACUACGACGUUGAUAGGCAGGGUGUGUAAGUGCUGCGAGGCAUUGAGCUAACCUGUACUAAUUGCCCGUGAGGCUUAACCAUACAACACCCAAGGGGUUU